rnacentral:rRNA from 1 species
CUGNUUACAAUGGGCGCAAGCCUGAUCCAGCCAUGCCGCGUGAGUGAUGAAGGCCCUAGGGUUGUAAAGCUCUUUCACCAGGGAUGAUAAUGACAGUACCUGGUAAAGAAACCCCGGCUAACUCCGUGCCAGCAGCCGCGGUAAUACGGAGGGGGUUAGCGUUGUUCGGAAUUACUGGGCGUAAAGCGCGCGUAGGCGGAUCAGAAAGUUGGGGGUGAAAUCCCAGGGCUCAACCCUGGAACUGCCUCCAAAACUCCUGGUCUUGAGUUCGAGAGAGGUGAGUGGAAUUCCGAGUGUAGAGGUGAAAUCCGUAGAUAUUCGGAGGAACACCAGUGGCGAAGGUGGCUCACUGGCUCGAUACUGACGCUGAGGUGCGAAAGUGUGGGGAGCAAACAGGAUUAGAUACCCUGGUAGUCCACACCGUAAACGAUGAAUGCCAGUCGUCGGGUAGCAUGCUGCUCGGUGACACACCUAACGGAUUAAGCAUUCCGCCUGGGGAGUACGGUCGCAAGAUUAAAACUCAAAGGAAUUGACGGG